GCCCACGUUGAAUUGAGUUCACAUUGAGGUGUCAUGUCCAAAAGUUAGACUAUGACCUUAGGUACGUAGAUGAGGUUAUAUCAAAGUGGAUCAGAAGCGUAAGAAAGUAUCAUCUCUCUCUCUCUUUCCAAAAGAAAUAUUGAUGUUCUCUUUUCCAAGAAAUCUUGGAUGUUCAUUACAAGCAACAAUAGCUUGUAGGUUAGUCCAACGUUCAAACAUCAUCAGUAUAUUUGGA
rnacentral:lncRNA from 1 species